AGGGUGUAAACGCUGCAGACUUGGUGUUGGAAGCCCUUUGGGGGCAUUCAGUGCCGGAGAGAAGUUGUUAAGUCUGCUACUUGGGGAGUACGUCCGCAAGGAUGAAACUUAAAGGAAUUGGCGGGGGAGCACCGCAACGGGAGGAGCGUGCGGUUUAAUUGGAUUCAACACCGUAAAACUCACCAGGGAAGACUGUUACAUGAAGGCCGAGAUGAAGACUCUGCUAGAUUUUCAGAGAGGAGGUGCAUGGCCGUCAGUGAC
rnacentral:rRNA from 1 species